GGUAAGUACUUCAUAAGUUGUUUUCAGACACAGUUCAUUCUCACUGAAGAAUGCACAUCUGCUCCAGGAGUCAUUUGCCAAAAUCACCCUGUUUCCAUGAAAAUGUCAAAGAUGGUGUUAACCUUGCUUGGUGCUAAUAACUGAAAUCCAUAAAUAAUAAAUAUAUAAAUGUACACACAUACAUGUAUGCACACAUGCCCACAUAGACACACACACGCAUAUCUACAAUAAGGUGGGCAUCACAAAAGAAACUUGUCUAGUAAUGUGCAGAAUUCCGACUAAAAUGCCCUUGUCUUUCCUUCCAUGCAAAUGUACCUUCCAGGGUAGUUAUGAUCCCUAGAGCUGUGGUCAGCAUUUGUGUGAACAACAAGCCUCUGUGCCGGCUUGCUGAAGCCUCUUAGUGAACUUUCCCUGUCACAUCUGCUUAGGUUGAUGCUCAGGAUCUCUGGGGGCUGGUUGACAUCAAAAGUUGUUGAUAACAGAGUAUGGAGGUUUCAUUCAUAUCUUUUGUUAAUUUUUCAAAUAAAAUAGGCUAACAUUUAUUGUUAUUGUCAUUAUUUCUUGUUAAUAUGUUUGGUGUUUUUCUCUCCAAGAUCAAGGAAAAACAUUAAUAGGCCAAGCAAAUUAUUUUAGGCAAUUCAGCUUGAAAUGUUUAUUUGUGUAAGACAUUUUGCAGUUUUGAGUGAUAAUGAAAUUGUUUUGCUCAUAAAAUAACAGUCUUCAUGCCUGUAUUGCUUCUACCAUCUGCAAAUAGCAGUACUGUCGUAAUCUAUUCCUGAAGCCCCCACACGCAGCAGUUUGAUUCAGAUUCUACACAGUUCCCCUUAAGUGAUUCUUCUAGUUCAUUCUCAUAAAGAGUGUCAGAGUAAACUUUCUUAAACUAUAAAGUUCUUUGUUAAAAAAUUGUAAUUCCUCAGUUUGUUUGUUAAACAAAGUUAAACAUUUUUAAUGAACCUGUAUACGUUUGGUAUUCUAGGCAACCACUCUCCCUCAGAGACACAUGUUAAAUUAAAAGAAAAUUAUUUGACAUUGUUUUCAUAAAGUAUAUUUUGAUCAUGUUUUUCCUUCUUCAAACUCUUAUAUCAUCCCUGACCUUCCUAGGUACCCCAUUUCAUUCUUUCUCUCUUUCUUUCUCUCGUUCUCUCCCCUUUAUCCCUCUCCCUCUCAGAAACAAUAACAAUAGAAAUGGAACC
rnacentral:lncRNA from 1 species